GUGAGUCAUCGAAUCUUUGAACGCACAUUGCGCCCGCCAGUACUCUGGCGGGCAUGCCUGUUCGAGCGUCAUUUCAACCCUCAAGCCCUGCUUGGUGUUGGGGUCCUACGGCUGCCGUAGGCCCUGAAAAGAAGUGGCGGGCUCGCUGCAACUCCGAGCGUAGUAAUUCAUUAUCUCGCUAGGGAAGCGCGGCGUGCUCCUGCCGUUAAAGACCCCAUCUUUAACCAAGGUUGACCUCGGAUCAGGUAGGAAUACCCGCUGAACUUAAGCAUAUCAAUAAGCGGAGGA
rnacentral:misc_RNA from 1 species